rnacentral:lncRNA from 1 species
UCUAAUGAACAUGCAAAUGGUGUUACAUCAAAGAAGAGUCUAUUGCGGAAUCUUCAUAUAAUUAAUAAUUUGAUUGGACACGAUGAAUCUUCGUUCUCCUCCUUCAACGUUUCCUAGAAAAAAUAAAGAAGCCGACUCUCAUAUAUCACUUUCAUCUCUCCCUCUCCAUCUUACAAUUUAAUAAUCGCGUGCACUUAAAUGCUCUAACCUCUAACGCCCAUUUCGUUUAUCACUUCAUUUCCAUAU